UUGUCCAUGAAACUCUUGAUUUAAAAAUUUGUCUCCUUUAUAGGAGUUAUGAGAUUGAUCACUGUUCGUUAACUUCACUUUUCAUUAAGUAUUUAGUGCAAUGAACAAACUGGAGAAAACAGAUAUCAUAUCCAGGGUCAUCGAUGUACGUGAGAAAAAAAUACAAGAUGAGUAAAAUAUCAGCAAAUAUAUUCCUUACUGAGAUCUUGUAAAAUAUCGAUAAACAAUAUAUUUCUUACUGAGUUCUCGUAAAAUAUCAGUAAACAAUAUAUUUCUUACCGAGAUCUCGUAAAAUAUCAGUAAACAAUGUAUUUCUUAAUUACUGAGAUCUCGUAAAACAUCAGUAACCAAUGUAUUUCUUACCGAGAUCUCGUAAAAUAUCAGUAAACAAUGUAUUUUUUACUGAGUUCUCGUAAAAUAUCAGUAAACAAUGUAUUUCUUACUGAGACCUCAUAAAAUAUCGGUAAACAAUAUAUUUCUUAAUUACUGAGAUCUCGUAAAAUAUCAGUAAACAAUGUAUUUCUUACCAAGAUCUCGUAAAAUAUCAGUAAACAAUAUAUUUCUUACCGAGAUCUCGUAAAAUAUCAGUAAACAAUGUAUUUCUUAAUUACUGAGAUCUCGUAAAACAUCAGUAACCAAUGUAUUUCUUAAUUACUGAGAUCUCGUAAAAUAUCAGUAAACAAUAUAUUUCUUACCGAGAUCUCGUAAAAUAUCAGUAAACAAUGUAUUUUUUACUGAGUUCUCGUAAAAUAUCAGUAAACAAUGUAUUUCUUACUGAGUCCUUGUAAAAUAUCAGUAAACAAUAUAUUCCUUACCGAGAUCUCGUAAAAUAUCAGUAAACAAUGUAUUUCUUAAUUACUGAGAUCUCGUAAAAUAUCAGUAAACAAUGUAUUUCUUAAUUACCGAGAUCUCGUAAAAUAUCAGUAAACAAUGUAUUUCUUACCGAGAUCUCGUAAAAUAUCAGUAAACAAUAUAUUUCUUACCGAGAUCUCGUAAAAUAUCAGUAAACAAUGUAUUUCUUACCGAGUUCUCCUCUUCACCUUCAGCCUUGAAGAUGACAGCUUGAAUCUCUGGAUCUUCGUCAUCAUCAGCCGGCAAAUCUGACAAAUAAAACAUCAUAAUCUCACACAGUAUGAAGGACAGAUUUCCUACCCGAGUCGCCGACGUCUAGCUGUCCUCCUUCACCUUCCACUUUCUCCUUUAACAGUCGGAUCCUCUCGGACCUCAGCGCCCUGCUGGCCUCGGACUCUUCCUUCGUGGCCUGUAGCACAUCUUUCUCUAUCACGGUGUUAAUGACCUGUACAUAAUCAAGAAAUUCGUUAAAAAAGAAUCCUUUUUCAUUGCAGGAUUUCACAGUCAAAGUGCUUUACAGGAAUCCAUCCCCCAUUUAAUACUCAUAUAAUAACAUCAUAAAAUAUCACGACAAAAUGAUAUCAACAAUAAUAAAUGGUUUUAUCUGAAA